rnacentral:misc_RNA from 1 species
GGGCAGUCUGAUCCAGAUUAUGAUGCUGCGUCUGCUGCAAAAGCACGGGCAUCGGCCUGUUGCUCUGGUGGGUGGCGGCACNGGCCAGAAUUGGCGAUCCGUCCUUCCGUGAAGAG